CCUACGGGGGGCAGCAGUGAGGAAUAUUGGUCAAUGGGCGGGAGCCUGAACCAGCCAAGUCGCGUGAGGGAAGACGGUCCUAUGGAUUGUAAACCUCUUUAGGCGGGGAGCAAUGCCGGGCACGUGUGCGCGGAGGGAGAGUACCCGCAGAAUAAGCAUCGGCUAACUCCGUGCCAGCAGCCGCGGUAAUACGGAGGAUGCGAGCGUUAUCCGGAUUUAGUGGGUUUAAAGGGUGCGUAGGCGGAUUUUUAAGUCAGCGGUAAAAUGUCGGGGCUCAACCCCGGCGGGCUGUUGAAACUGGUGUUCUUGAGUGGGCGAGAAGUAUGCGGAAUGCGUGGUGUAGCGGUGAAAUGCAUAGAUAUCACGCAGAACUCCGAUUGCGAAGGCAGCAUACCGGCGCCCUACUGACGCUGAGGCACGAAAGCGUGGGUAUCGAACAGGAUUAGAUACCCCAGUAGUC
rnacentral:rRNA from 1 species